rnacentral:rRNA from 1 species
AGAGUUUGAUCCUGGCUCAGGAUGAACGCUGGCGGCGUGCUUAACACAUGCAAGUCGAGCGAAGCAAUUUAAGUGAAGUUUUCGGAUGGAUCUUAAAUUGACUGAGCGGCGGACGGGUGAGUAACGCGUGGAUAACCUGCCUCACACAGGGGGAUAACAGUUAGAAAUGACUGCUAAUACCGCAUAAGCGCACGGUACCGCAUGGUACAGUGUGAAAAACUCCGGUGGUGUGAGAUGGAUCCGCGUCUGAUUAGGUAGUUGGUGAGGUAACGGCCCACCAAGCCGACGAUUAGUAGCCGACCUGAGAGGGUGACCGGCCACAUUGGGACUGAGACACGGCCCAAACUCCUACGGGAGGCAGCAGUGGGGAAUAUUGCACAAUGGGCGAAAGCCUGAUGCAGCAACGCCGCGUGAGUGAAGAAGUAUCUCGGUAUGUAAAGCUCUAUCAGCAGGGAAGAAAAUGACGGUACCUGAUUAAGAAGCCCCGGCUAACUACGUGCCAGCAGCCGCGGUAAUACGUAGGGGGCAAGCGUUAUCCGGAUUUACUGGGUGUAAAGGGAGCGUAGACGGAAUGGCAAGUCUGAUGUGAAAGGCCGGGGCUCAACCCCGGGACUGCAUUGGAAACUGUCAAUCUAGAGUACCGGAGGGGUAAGUGGAAUUCCUAGUGUAGCGGUGAAAUGCGUAGAUAUUAGGAGGAACACCAGUGGCGAAGGCGGCUUACUGGACGGUAACUGACGUUGAGGCUCGAAAGCGUGGGGAGCAAACAGGAUUAGAUACCCUGGUAGUCCACGCCGUAAACGAUGAA